rnacentral:rRNA from 1 species
GACGAACCACACAAACGUUAUUCGGAAUCACUGGGCUUAAAGGGUGCGUAGGCUGCGCAGCAAGUUGGGUGUGAAAUCCCUCGGCUCAACCGAGGAACUGCGCCCAAAACUGCUGUGCUCGAGGGAAAUAGAGGUGAGCGGAACUUAGGGUGGAGCGGUGAAAUGCGUUGAUAUCCUAAGGAACACCCGUGGCGAAAGCGGCUCACUGGAUCUCUUCUGACACUGAGGGACGAAAGCUAGGGGAGCGAGUGGG